rnacentral:misc_RNA from 1 species
UACGAACUGUGCGAACGUUAUUCGGAAUCACUGGGCUGAAAGGGUGCGUAGGCGGCCGACUAAGUCAGGUGUGAAAGCCCCCGGCUCAACCGGGGAAUUGCGCUUGAAACUGGACGGCUUGAGUGAGGUAGGGGCGUGCGGAAGUUCCGGUGGAGCGGUGAAAUGUGUUGAGAUCGGAAGGAACGCCGGUGGCGAAAGCGGCACGCUGGGCCUUAACUGACGCUGAGGCACGAAAGCCAGGGGAGCGAACGGG